rnacentral:pre_miRNA from 1 species
CAAUGUUUUGACUCUUCGUUUUAUUUAAAACUUUUGCGAUUAAUAUUUUUAUUGUUAUUAGAUGAUAAAAUAUAAAUAAUACUUUAUGCGUAACUAAUUUUUUUAAAUUUUUGUGCAAAAUUUUUAAAUAAAACAAAUUGUCAAAGCAUUGAAC